GUCCACGCCGUAAACGAUGUCUACUAGCCGUUGGGGUCCUUGAGGCCUUAGUGGCGCAGCUAACGCACUAAGUAGACCGCCUGGGGAGUACGGUCGCAAGAUUAAAACUCAAAUGAAUUGACGGGGGCCCCGCACAAGCGGUGGAGCAUGUGGUUUAAUUCGACGCAACGCGAAGAACCUUACCAGGUCUUGACAUCCAGAGAACUUUCCAGAGAUGGAUUGGUGCCUUCGGGAACUCUGAGACAGGUGCUGCAUGGCUGUCGU
rnacentral:rRNA from 1 species